AUUCAGAUUGGAGAGGUAAUUCAGAUUAUAUGUGGGAUGAACCUCAACAAUUUCAACAAGGUGGAUAUUGGCAGCAAGACGAGUUCUAUUCAAGACCUAUGCAGCCACCACAGCAUCCCCCACAACAAUUCCAAUCAAAUCAAAAUAUGCCCAUGAAUUAUAAUGAAAUUCUGGAAGGACUAAUUUCUGUGGCGCAGGGUUUACGAAAAGAAGAACAAUUGCCGCCAUCGGAAGAGUUCUAUCAGUGGCCAUAUGAACCAUCACAGCCACCACAACAAUCAACCCAAUUCAAUUCAGGUACAUCCUUGGAUAAUGAUACACUGAAUAAUUUACUCGCCUCUUUGAAUCAGGGAGUAGAAAAUCAAAACCAGGAGAUGCAAGACCGAGUCAAAAAGAGUAGACGAAUUGGAUAUGCAUGUUGGGCAAAUUAUGGAAUUCAUGGCACAGAUUCAAGAGCAAAGUGAAGUCUCCAACUCAACUCUUGAAAAAUUCAAAGGCAGAAGUUGAAAUCGAUGAAGCCAUCACCUUGGAAGGUGACAGGGAGGAUGAAGCUGUCCCAGAACCAUCCACACACAGCCCGAACUUGGAUGAAUUGCUGCUGCAAGCAGAAGGGGAGGAGGACGACCUGGGCAGUUUAGAAGAAUUCUUGCUGCAAGCUCCUCAAAUCCCUCUGUCAUCCAACUCAGGUGAGGAAGUUCCCAUUUCAUUUCAUUCUAAUGAUAUUCCUAUUCUUGGUGCAACAAAGCAGGUCCUAGAUCGUGUUGAAUAUUUCAAAGGCCUUUGUUUCCCAAGAAAUAUGAUUCAAGAGAAUGAAGUGGUGGAAGCAUGUCAAGAAUACAUCCAAGGGGCUGUGCAUGAGACAAUCAAGCCCAAAGCCGUUGAGUUUGAUGACCCGGGACAAGCCACAACCAUCAUAGUAAAUCUGGCCAAGUUCAAAGUCCCGGAAAUGUUCAAAAAAUGUGGUGUUUGUCAUUGAGUUUUGUGCCAGAAAAAGAAAGUAAGCCAUCUUCUCCAAUUUUAAUUUUUAUUUAUACUAACAUUUUUCUGAGUUUGAUGAUUCAGGCACCCACUCGUGAAUUCAAACCAUUGCCGAAUCAUUUCAAGUAUCACCUCCCAUUAAAAGAUAAAUUCCAUGCUUUGGAGCCGAUGGGAGUUUAAAGGAAAGAUUCGUCCGGCUAAAGACGUUAAAUCAAGCGCUUCUUGGGAGGCAACCCAAGCAUUCAACGAAGGGAGACUUUGAAAUUGCUCAACAAAUCUUUUUCCGAUCAGAUUUGCAUUCCUAAACCCUUCUCUUCAGUUGUGAUUUCUGAGUUGUGAUUUAAUUUGCUUAACUGCUUGAUAGAUAACUUAUUUUUGUAUGUCGAUUAAGGAUGCAUACUUAAUUUACAUGCAUGAAUUUGAUGCUAGAAUAUAAGUGAAUUUCACCUAAUCGUUAUGAACUUAUAUUCACAAGUAGUAAAGGUUGCUAGUCACAAUCACGUUAAGUAAAUUCUUGGCAUAAGUUUCAUGCAAAUCAUAGUAACGAGUGCCUCGUCAAUGCUUAUGUUUUUCAUAGAACUUACUGAUUCUUGCUUGUAUCUCUAUUAUGCAAUUCAUGUAGGGAACUUGUAGGGAAUGUUUUGGGUUGUCGUAUGCAAUCAUCCAACCCAAUAACUUGUGGAAAAACUUGAAGGUUAAUUUAAGCGGACCUAAUUAAUCUGGGGUAUUGAGAUUUACAAUUUAUUGAAAGAACAACUGAAAAUCAAUUUAGGUUGCAUAUAUGUCAUGUGUGGAGAAGAACCCUCUAGCCAGUCCGUCAUUUAUCAUUUUACCUUAAUUUUAUGUUUUUGUCAAUUCUGUAAUUUAGUUAAGUUUAAUUUACUUUUCAUCAAAACCAAACACCCAUCCAUUAUUAAAUUAUAUUAUUUAGUUAGUUUUAUUUAUUGUUAGUCUUUUAAUUUAAUUUCCGUCCAUUUCAGUUCCUAGUGUUUAAUUUAAUUGUUUUCAUUAUUUUGAGUCAUUCUAAGUGUGUUUCGGGUUAUUAGAGUUUUUAGCCUAGUUUUGUGUCCUUGAGUCUUAUUUAAUAUAUUUAAAUUAAUUGAGAAUAGAUUAGCAAUCCCUCCUAAUCCCCGGCCUAGAACGAUACCCUACUUACAUCCAUACUACAAUUGUCAAAAAGAGGGUUUAAUUUGUGUGUCAGGUAAUUCUCGCACCAAAUUUUGGCGCCGUUGCCGGGGAUUAGCAACUUUGCUAAUCCUUUUAUUUUUGUUUUUGCUUAUGUUUAUUUGUGUUUGUGUAUGUUACUUUUGAUAUUUGAUUUAUUUUUCUUUCUUUGAAUUGAGGUACAAAUGGAGCAAGACCUGGAUUCUACUAGCAUUCAAGAUCUAUUGGCACAGCUCACUGCUCAAUUAACUCAUAAUGCCGAACGGACCACAAUGCCAAGUGUCCCUACAUUUGAUGUGCCCUAUGGGCAAGGAUAUCAAGGUCCUCAAUUUUCUGCAAAUGAAGAUGUUUGGGGAUAUCAAGGCCAUAACCAAUCAAGGGGCAACAUGUUUUCCAAUGCUUACAAUUCAGAUUGGAGAGGUAAUUCAGAUUAUAUGUGGGAUGAACCUCAACAAUUUCAACAAGGUGGAUAUUGGCAGCAAGACGAGUUCUAUUCAAGACCUAUGCAGCCACCACAGCAUCCCCCACAACAAUUCCAAUCAAAUCAAAAUAUGCCCAUGAAUUAUAAUGAAAUUCUGGAAGGACUAAUUUCUGUGGCGCAGGGUUUACGAAAAGAAGAACAAUUGCCGCCAUCGGAAGAGUUCUAUCAGUGGCCAUAUGAACCAUCACAGCCACCACAACAAUCAACCCAAUUCAAUUCAGGUACAUCCUUGGAUAAUGAUACACUGAAUAAUUUACUCGCCUCUUUGAAUCAGGGAGUAGAAAAUCAAAACCAGGAGAUGCAAGACCGAGUCAAAAGAGUAGACGAAUUGGAUAUGCAUGUUGGGCAAAUUAUGGAAUUCAUGGCACAGAUUCAAGAGCAAAGUGAAGUCUCCAACUCAACUCUUGAAAAUUCAAAGGCAGAAGUUGAAAUCGAUGAAGCCAUCACCUUGGAAGGUGACAGGGAGGAUGAAGCUGUCCCAGAACCAUCCACACACAGCCCGAACUUGGAUGAAUUGCUGCUGCAAGCAGAAGGGGAGGAGGACGACCUGGGCAGUUUAGAAGAAUUCUUGCUGCAAGCUCCUCAAAUCCCUCUGUCAUCCAACUCAGGUGAGGAAGUUCCCAUUUCAUUUCAUUCUAAUGAUAUUCCUAUUCUUGGUGCAACAAAGCAGGUCCUAGAUCGUGUUGAAUAUUUCAAAGGCCUUUGUUUCCCAAGAAAUAUGAUUCAAGAGAAUGAAGUGGUGGAAGCAUGUCAAGAAUACAUCCAAGGGGCUGUGCAUGAGACAAUCAAGCCCAAAGCCGUUGAGUUUGAUGACCCGGGACAAGCCACAACCAUCAUAGUAAAUCUGGCCAAGUUCAAAGUCCCGGAAAUGUUCAAAAAUGUGGUGUU
rnacentral:lncRNA from 1 species